rnacentral:rRNA from 1 species
CCUACGGGUGGCAGCAGUGGGGGAUAUUGCACAAUGGGGGCAACUCUGAUGCAGCGACGCCGCGUGAGUGAAGAAGUAUUUCGGGAUGUAAAGCUCUAUUAGCAGGGAAGAAAAAAGACGGUAGCUGACUAAGAAGCCCCGGCUAAAUACGUGCUAGCAGCCGCGGUAAUACGUAGGGGGCAAGCGUUAUCCGGAUUUACUGGGUGUAAAGGGAGCGUAGACGGCAAUACAAGUCGGAAGUGAAAUACCCGGGCUCAACCUGGGAACUGCUUUGGAAACUGUAUGGCUAGAGUGCUGGAGAGGUAAGCGGAAUUCCUAGUGUAGCGGUGAAAUGCGUAGAUAUUAGGAGGAACACCAGUGGCGAAGGCGGCUUACUGGACAGUAACUGACGUUGAGGCUCGAAAGCGUGGGGAGCAAACAGGAUUAGAUACCCCAGUAGUC